GAUGAACGCUGGCGGCGUGCCUAAUACAUGCAAGUCGAGCGAACAUACGAGGAGCUUGCUCCUCUUACGUUAGCGGCGGACGGGUGAGUAACACGUGAAUAACCUACCUAUAAGACUGGGAUAACUUCGGGAAACCGGAGCUAAUACCGGAUAAUCUCUUGAUCCGCAUUGUUCAAGAGUGAAAGACGUUUUUUCUGUUACUUAUAGACUCAUCUGCGCUAUACUAGCUAGUUGGUAAGGUAACGACUUACCAAAGCAACGAUGCGUAGCCUCCAUGAUAGGGACAUCGGCUAGACGGGAAGAGAGACACGGUCGACACUCCUACGCGGGGACACAGUCGGGACUCUUACGGAAUGCAGGAAAGCCUGACGGAGCAACGCCGCGUGAGUGCUGAUGGUCCUAGGCUCGGAAAACUAAGUAAUUAUGCAAAAACAAAUGUGUAGGCAACAAUGAACGUAUUGACGGUACCUAACAAGAAAGCAACGGCUAACUACGUG
rnacentral:rRNA from 1 species